rfam:Picea glauca, whole genome shotgun sequence.
GGGUGAGAUCAUACCAACGUUAAUGCACCGGAUCCCAUCAGAACUUUGCAAUUAAGCGCGCUUGGGCUAGAGUAGUACUGGGAUGGGUGACCUCCCAGGAAGUCCUAGUGUUGCCCCCU